UACGAAGGGGGCUAGCGUUGCUCGGAUUGACUGGGCGUAAAGGGCGCGUAGGCGGUUCGUACAGUCAGACGUGAAAUUCCUGGGCUCAACCUGGGGGCUGCGUUUGAUACGUGCGGACUUGAGUGCGGAAGAGGGUCGUGGAAUUCCCAGUGUAGAGGUGAAAUUCGUAGAUAUUGGGAAGAACACCGGUGGCGAAGGCGGCAUCCUGGGCCGGCAUUGACGCUGAGGCGCGAAAGCCAGGGGAGCAAACGGG
rnacentral:rRNA from 1 species